rnacentral:rRNA from 1 species
UGGGGAAUAUUGCACAAUGGGCGCAAGCCUGAUGCAGCCAUGCCGCGUGUAUGAAGAAGGCCUUCGGGUUGUAAAGUACUUUCAGCGGGGAGGAAGGCGAUAAGGUUAAUAACCUUGUCGAUUGACGUUACCCGCAGAAGAAGCACCGGCUAACUCCGUGCCAGCAGCCGCGGGAAUACGGAGGGUGCACGCGUUAAUCGGAAUUACUGGGCGUAAAGCGCACGCAGGCGGUCUGUCAAGUCGGAUGUGAAAUCCCCGGGCUCAACCUGGGAACUGCAUUCGAAACUGGCAGGCUAGAGUCUUGUAGAGGGGGGUAGAAUUCCAGGUGUAGCGGUGAAAUGCGUAGAGAUCUGGAGGAAUACCGGUGGCGAAGGCGGCCCCCUGGACAAAGACUGACGCUCAGGUGCGAAAGCGUGGGGAGCAAACA